UUAGAUAAAAGGAACAGCGAGUGCAGAAACUCCAGGGCAAGAGUGUACAGGGAGGCCAUCAUAGCUGAAGCAAAGUGGACAAGAAAGUGGUAGAGAAUCAGGAAACAUUGGUAACAAAGCAGCCAGGUUGUAAAAGGACUUGUAUGCUCCUGUAAAGAAUGUUGGCUUUUUACUAAGUACAAUGAGAAAACACUGAAGGGUUAUUGCAGAAGAAUGAUAUAAUAUAACAUACAUUUUAAAAGGACAGCUCCGCUGGCUGCAUUGAGAAUAACCUGAGCCAACCUAGAAGUUGUGAUGAUACUCCUGGCUUGGACUAGAAUAAUGCAGGUAGAAGGGAUGAAAACCGGUUUGCUGAUGGUUUGCACAUGGCAUGUGUGGGAAACGGAGGAAUCAAGGAUGUCAUAAUGUCAUGUGGAUGUGAGCUUUUUCCAGUCCACUGAAAAAGCCAGAUGUGUUAUCAUUAUCCCACAGCAAAACAUCCAUAUCCCUGGCUUCAUUGUACCUCCUGCCUGAACUGUGCUGGAUAAACAGCCAAACACUGACUGUCUCCUUUUCAAGUUCCUUGCUGUCUAUGCCAAGAACCUGGACACCCUCCACCAUUAACAUGUUUUGGCCAGCCAUCCCAGAGGAAGAGAAACCAUCAAGCUUCAGCAGAUCAUGCAACAAAGGUUCCAGCCAGUUCCAGGUGAAGACACUGCCCGUGGCCAUAAAGAAGUUACCCUGCCUCCACUAGACAGGACAGGGUGAGAGUUCUGUAAUCCCAGAUAGGUAGGGACUACUCCUCAAAACAGCAUGAAGCAGUUACAGAAAAAAGGACCAUUAGUUCGUCUGCCUCCCAUAAAGAUUUACGGGAAUUGCAUCCCUUGGGGAGAUAUAAGGUAGGAAAAUAGGGUCUGGAGGCAGGGAACAUAAGGCCGAUUCACACUUCAGCUGUAACAGGAAAUAUCUUCUCUAUAAGGCAUACGCCAUAAAUGCCUUUGUAACUUUACUUUCCUCUUCAUUGACAUAGGGCAUACCCCAAGUAGAGGGUAUUUAGACUCACAAAAACUCUGUAACAGGGCCUUUGAGCCCCUAUGCUUACGCCUGCUCCCACACUGUGGAGUGUACUUUCAUUUUCUUUUAAUUUUUUUUUUUUUUUUUUUUGAGACAGAGUCUCA